AUGGACAGUCCUGGCGUGAGGCUGGUAAAGCCCCAGGCAGGGAGGCUUCCCAUGCUGACAGAAGUAAUUUACUUGGGGUAUGAAAACUGCUGAGUGUCACAGAAUCACAGUAUCACAGAACUUGGAAGGCACCUAUUAGGAUCACCCAGUCCCUCCCCAGAGAAGGGUCAAAUACAGCAGAUUGAGUGUGCCUUCAGCAAGUCAGCAGUAUCUGCUGAUACACCAGAGGGUUGCGCUGAUACACCAGAGGGACCCCAACAAGCCGGAGAAAUGGGCUGACAGAAACCUCCUGAAGUUCAACAAGAAGUCCUGCACCUGAGGAAAAACAACCCCGUGAACCAGUGUGUGCUGUGGGCCACCCAGAUGAAAAGUUUCUCUGCAGAGAAGGACAUAGGGGUCCUGGUGUCCACCAGAUUGAACGUGAUCCAGCAAUGUGCCCUUGCAGCAAAGAACAGCGAUGGUAUUCUGGGCUGCAUUAGGGAAAGUCUUGCCAGCAAGUCGAGAGAGUUGAUCCUGCCCCUUUAUUCAGCUUUGCUGAGGCCACACCUGGAGUACUAUGUCCAGCUUUCUGUUCCUCACUACUACGAGGAACCUACUGUAUUGUCCCAUCAGCAGAUAACACGGUGGUUAACAUCUCUCACAAGGA